rnacentral:rRNA from 1 species
AGUUUGAUCCUGGCUCAGGACGAACGCUGGCGGCGUGCCUAACACAUGCAAGUCGAACGAUUUAGCAUUUGAGCUUGCUUGAAUGCUGGAUAGUGGCGGACGGGUGAGUAACGCGUGAGCAACCUGCCUUUUUGAGGGGGAUAACACCGGGAAACCGGAGCUAAUACCGCAUAAAAUAUUGAAACCGCAUGGUAUCGAUAUCAAAGGAGCAAUCCGCAGAAAGAUGGACUCGCGUCCGAUUAGCUAGUUGGAGGGGUAACGGCCCACCAAGGCGACGAUCGGUAGCCGGACUGAGAGGUUGAACGGCCACAUUGGGACUGAGACACGGCCCAGACUCCUACGGGAGGCAGCAGUGGGGGAUAUUGCACAAUGGGGGAAACCCUGAUGCAGCAACGCCGCGUGAGGGAAGAAGGUUUUCGGAUUGUAAACCUCUGUCCUAGGUGAAGAUAAUGACGGUAACCUGGGAGGAAGCUCCGGCUAACUACGUGCCAGCAGCCGCGGUAAUACGUAGGGAGCGAGCGUUNUUCCGGANUUACUGGGUGUAAAGGGUGCGUAGGCGGCCUUNUGGGUUCAGGCCGUGAAAUACAUGGGCUUNAACCCAUGGACUGCGCUUGAAACUAUAAGGGCUUGAGUGAAGUAGAAGGCAGGUGGAAUUCCCGGUGUAGCGGUGAAAUGCGUAGAGAUCGGGAGGAACACCAGUGGCGAAGGCGGCCUGCUGGGCUUUAACUGACGCUGAGGCACGAAAGCAUGGGUAGCAAACAGGAUUAGAUACCCUGGUAGUCCAUGCCGUAAACGAUGAUUACUAGGUGUGGGUGGACUGACCCCAUCCGUGCCGGAGUUAACACAAUAAGUAAUCCACCUGGGAAGUACGANCCNCCAAGGUUGAAACUCAAAGGAAUUGACNGGGGGCCCNNCACAAGCAGUGGAAGUAUGUGGUUUAAUUCGAANNAUACNCNGAANNAACCUUACCAGGUCUUGANAUCCCGACUAACGAAGNUAGAGAUACNUUANGGNGCCCCUUCGGGGAAANUCGAGACAGGUGGUGCAUGGUUGUCGUCAGCUCGUGUCGUGAGAUGUUGGGUUAAGUCCCGCAACGAGCGCAACCCUUACUGUUAGUUGCUACGCAAGAGCACUCUAGCAGGACUGCCGUUGACAAAACGGAGGAAGGUGGGGACGACGUCAAAUCAUCAUGCCCCUUAUGACCUGGGCUACACACGUACUACAAUGGCCGUAAACAGAGGGAAGCAAAGCCGCGAGGUGGAGCCAACCCCCAAAAGCGGUCUCAGUUCAGAUUGCAGGCUGCAACUCGCCUGCAUGAAGUCGGAAUUGCUAGUAAUCGCAGAUCAGAAUGCUGCGGUGAAUACGUUCCCGGGCCUUGUACACACCGCCCGUCACACCAUGGGAGCCGGUAAUACCCGAAGUCAGUUACUUAACCGUUAAGGAAAGCNCUGNCGNAGGUAGGAUUGGCGACUGGGGUGAAGUCGUAA